GUCCCUUCGGGGACAUCCGAUAAAAUUGAACGAUACAGCGAAGAUCAGUAUGGCCCCUGCACAAGGAUGAGAUGCACAAAUCGAGAAAUGGUACAAUGUUUU
rfam:Triticum aestivum genome assembly, contig: Triticum_aestivum_CS42_TGACv1_scaffold_404550_5BL